UUUCCGAAAUAGUGACAAAAAAUAUCAAUGCUAGGUACUAUGUAUUUAGUAAUUGGAAUGAGUACAAUUUAAAUCCCUUAACAAGUAACAAUUAGAGGGCAAGUCUGGUGCCAGCAGCCGCGGUAAUUCCAGCUCUAAUAGCGUAUAUUAAUAUUGUUGCAGUUAAAAAGCUCGUAGUUGAAAUUUGGAACUUUAUUGUAUUGGUUUGUCUUUUGAUGAACUGUAUGAUGGGUUUCUUCCUACUAGAGUUCGAUUCUGUUCUUAACUGAAUGGAGUAGCUAUCUUUCGGGGUGGUCAGUUGGUUAUUAUAUCUCCACUAAUAAGCAGAGAGGGGUUAAACCUUUGAAGUAAGUUAUGUGGGUCAAGGUAUGGUGAUUAAUUGGAGUUCUAGUUCAUUUACUUUGAGAAAAAUUAGAGUGUUUUAAAGCAGCCUCUUGGGGCACUGAAUACAUUAGCAUGGGAUAAUAAAAUAGGAUCUUCACAAUAUAUUUUAUUGGUUUAAAUUGCGUAUGAAGAUAAUGAU
rnacentral:rRNA from 1 species